AGAGAGUGGAGUAGAUUUGAAAACAGAGGAGAGAAAAAACAGAGUUAUUGAGUGAGAAUGGAAAACAGAGGAGAGAAAAACUCUGUUUAUCCUCUGAAUAGUUAUGAAGUUCAUCCAAGAACUAAACCAACUCGUGUAUUCAUGUUCAUUUAUCUAUGUGGAAUCACAGCUCUUCUUUAUCAUCAUCUUACUAAACUCAUAUUCCAUUCAAAUCAUUUAUUGCCAUCAAUCUUACUGUUGAUUGAUGAUUUAGUGCUAUCUUUCAUGUGGGUUACAUCUCAAGCUUUCCGAUGGUGUCCGAUUCGCAGAGAAGUGUAUCCGGAGAAUCUUUCAAGUUGUCAAAGAAGAGGAUCUUCCAGCGCUGGAUGUAUUUAUCUGCACUGCCGAUCCAUAUAAAGAACCUCCGAUAGAUGUUGUGAAUCAAUACAGCGUUAUCUGUUCUAGCAUUUGAUUAUCCAUCAAAUAAGAUUUCCGUUUAUGUUUCUGAUGACGGAGGAUCUCAAAUGACUCUUUUCGCGCUAAUUCAAAGAGCUAAGUUUGCCAGACCAGAGAAUGGCUGCCGUUUUGCAGGAAGCAUAAUCUCAGUAAGAGAUGUCCUAAAGUGGUUUUCAACCAGCAUGAUUCUGCUCAUCUUCAGAUUGAUUCUCCAGAGGAGUUUCAAAAAAUGAAGAUGUUAUAUGAGGAAAUGACAAGGAAGGUAGAGCUUGUUAUGGAACAAGGUUUUGUAGAUGACGAUAUGCUCAAUAGUGAAAAGGAGCAUCAAUUUUUCGUUCAAUGGAAAGUAACUGAUGGAUUUACUCGCCAAAAUCAUCCUACUCUCAUUCAGGUACUCAUGGAAAUCCUUAAGGAUGUUGAUGUCUCGGGGACACCCUACCCAAUUUAAUCUACCUUUCUCGAGAAAAAAGUAAACAUAAUAUUCACCACAAAUUCAAGGCGGGUGCUCUGAAUGCACUGGUAAGAAAAAUGAAACCAUGUUCACAGCAAAAAAUACCAGUUAAUAUAUAUAUUAUUUGGCAAAUAAAGUUUAUUGUUUAAUUUGAUGAAGAUACGUGUAUCGGCGAUAAUGACUAGCGCACCGGUAGUUCUCAGCCUUGAUUGCGACAUGUACUGUAAUAAUCCUCAGGCUCCACGCCUAGCGCUAUGCCAUCUACUAGACCCGAUACAAGGCUCAAAAACUGCUUUUGUUCAAUUUCCUCAACGACAUAGAGGGAUUAAUCCAACUGACAUAUAUAACAAUGAGGUUACAAGGCCGUUUAUAAUUAAUCCUGAGGGGUUAGAUGGAAUUGGCACUACGAAUUAUGUCGGCGCUGGCCCUUUUAUCAACCGAAAAGCAUUUUAUGGUGGCCCAACUCAAUAAAAUGUAAACAUAUUUCCUGGAUUCCGUGACGAUGGAAGUGGUUUGGAUAGAAAAACAAUGAGUUCAAGACUAAUUUUGGAAGCAGCUAAAAAGGUUGCAGAUUGAAGAUUUUGGGAUUCAGAUAUGGAUCCCUGGUUGAAGAUUUUUUUACGGGCUAUCGUAUGCAAUGUGAAGGAUGGCGCUCAAUAUUUUGCAACCCAAAAACUCCAGCAUUUCUUGGAGAUUUCCCAAUCAGCUUAAACGAUUCACUAAUUCAAGUGAAACGAUGGUCAGUUGGAUUGAUUGAGGUUGGGUUCUCAAAGUAUUUCCCAUUCACAUUUGGUUCAAGGAACAGAUCUCUGCUUAUGGGAAUGGCGUAUGGUUUCUAUGCAUUUUGGCCAGUGUGGGCUGUCCCUAUUAUCAUAUAUGGUCUUCUUCCGCAGCUUUGCCUUAUAGACGACAUGUAUUUGUUCCCCAAGGUCUCUGACCAAUGGUUUUAUCUGUACGCAUACCUCUUUUCAGCAACAUAUAUCCAAGACCUCAUCGAGAGUUAUUACGUAAACGAUAUAAAUUUCAAAAAAUGGUGGAACGAGCAAAGAAUGUGGUUGAUUCGAGGAGCAACAUGUUUCAGCUUUUCAUUUAUAGAAUUCACAUUAAACCAAAUCGGUAUCUCCGCUCCAGAUUUCAGCCUUACAAGUAAAGUAAUCGACAAUGAACAGCAAAAAAGAUACGACCAAGAAAUAUUCGACUUUGGAGUAGAAUCAAUUUAGUUUCAUUUAGUUUUGGGAUUGUGAAGGUGAUAUUUAUGGAUGGAAAGCUGGAAGAAAUGUCGGUUCAGUUGUUUUUAAGUGGAUUUGUGCUGGUACCUAUUUAUGAAGCGAUGGUGCUGAGAAAAGAUGGAGGAAGAAUGCCUACAAGAGUAACUUUAAUAUCUGUUCUCAUUUCAUUGCUUCUUUGUUACGGGGCAGGAUUCAUAAUGAAAUGAAGUUGAUCCGUGCCCGCUCCACACUUGAAAAGAAUCUCUUA